rnacentral:rRNA from 1 species
UACGUAGGGGGCUAGCGUUGUCCGGAAUCAUUGGGCGUAAAGCGCGCGUAGGCGGCCAGAUAAGUCCGGUGUGAAAGUCAAAGGCUCAACCUUUGAAUGCCGCUGGAAACUGUCUGGCUAGAGUCCGGAAGGGGCGAGUGGAACUCCUGGUGUAGCGGUGAAAUGCGUAGAGAUCAGGAAGAACAUCGGUGGCGAAGGCGCUCUGCUGGACCAUAACUGACACUCAGGGACGAAAGCUAGGGGAGCGAAUGGG